GCCGGCCUAGCUCAAUUGGUAGAGCAACUGACUUGUAAUCAGUUGGGUGGGGGGUUCAGUCCUCUGGCCGGCACCA
rnacentral:tRNA from 1 species